rnacentral:lncRNA from 1 species
CCGCAUCCUCCCGACUCCCCCGCCUCAGGUGGCAUUGGACGGACCCACCCCCGUGUGCACGAUCCCAGGACCCAGGCGCCCCUGCCCAGGUGGCCGCCUCACGCCGCCGCCGCCCCCUUCCCAACCGUCCCUCCCUUCUCCCCGCGGGCGCAGAGAGAACAAUAACCCGGAGCGCGCCGGGAAAGCGGAGACUCCCUGGCGCACACUCAAUGCGAGGGGAGUUCCGAGGGGGCGGCCCCAGCGCGCUGCGCGUGCCCGCGGGGCUGCCGGAGGUGGGGGGCGGGACCGCGGCCACUGGCCGGCCCCCCAGGCACUGUUGGAGGCCACGUGGAGGGUAUUUAGGUCAAGCCAUCUUAGCUGAAGGAAUCACAAACUUCUGUAAUGUCUUGGGUGCUGGGCUGCUUGCUUACAAUAAAAAGUAUUUGAAAGGACACUGGCAUCUUUCAUUCAUCCAUUGUGUCAUCUCUUUGGUCAUCUUUUUGCUCUUGUUCCCAUCUGUGGAAUGGCUGACCACUCGCCUCUUUCCUGUGGGUCCUGUCUGGAGUACAAAGUGCAACCCUUUAUCAACCACACAAAUCAGGAGGAGCUCCUAGACCUGGGACCUGAAAAAAAUCCAGGCAAAAACUGAUUAAAGUUUUAACAAAAGG